rnacentral:rRNA from 1 species
AACGAACGCUGGCGGCAGGCUUAACACAUGCAAGUCGAGCGCCCCGAACGGGGAGCGGCAGACGGGGGAGUAACGCGUGGGAAUCUACCCGUCGCUACGGAGUAACGCAUGGAAACGGGUGCUAAUACCGUAUACGCCAUUAGGGCGCAAGAUUUAUCGAAGAUGGAUGAGCCCGCGUUGGAUUAGAUAGUUGGUGGGGUAAAGGGCUACCAAGGCGACGAUCCAUAGCUGGUCUGAGAGGAUGAUCAGAGACACUGGGACGGAGACACGGCCCAGACUCCUACGGGAGGCAGCAGUGGGGAAUAUUGGACAACGGGCGCAAGCCUGAUCCAGCCCUGCCGCGUGAGUGAUGUAGGCCGUAGGGUUGUAAAGCUCUUUCAACGGUGAAGAUAAUGACGGUAACCGGAGAAGAAGCCCCGGCUAACUUCGUGCCAGCCGCCGCCGUAACAC